GAACAACAUUUUUUUUUCAGAUUUUUGAAAAAUAGAACAACAUUUUUUUCUGUAAUUUAUUUCACCAAAUAAUAUUUUUUUUCCUAUAAUUUAUUCACCAAACAACCAAAAAAAAAGAAGAAGAAAGAAUCAAACGUGAGAAGUAGGCGAGGGGGCGAGUGGGUGAGGUGGGCGAGAUGGGAGGUGGGCGAGGUGUGGAGGAGGGAGGGUUUGGUGGUAAGUUCUGUGGAGAAGAAAGGAAAAGGAAAAAGAAAAAAGAAAAGAAAAAAGAGAGAAAGUGAGAGGGCGGGCGAGCCAGCAGGCGAGGGGGUGAGUGGGCCAGGUGGGAGGUGGGCAUGCUGUGGAGGAGGGAGGGUCUGGUGGGAGGUGAGGUCUGUGGAGAGAAAGGAAAAGGAAAAAAAAAAGAAGAAAGAGAGAGUGAGAGAGAGAGAGAGAGAGAACGGAGGGGAUCUAACGAAG
rnacentral:lncRNA from 1 species